CUUCUCACCCCUCUCUGUUGCUUCUCUCCACUUCCUCACUUUACUGCAAGAGCUAGCAGAAAACUCUCCUCUGAUCACUUCAAACCCUCUCUUUUCCUCCCCCUUCUCCAGCAAAAACCCGUAAAUUCCCUUUGGAAAACUACCCUGUUGCUUCUCUCCACUCCAUCACUUUCCCACACGAGCCCUCUCUUUCUCUUCUUCUUAUCAUUUCUUCAUUCUAUUUCCCUUACUCAUCUCCUGCUCUCUUCUCUCUCAGCUGGUCUGCAAACAAGCUGGUUGGGAGAUUUAGGCUGCAGAAGCACGAACAGUGAAGCUGAAGGAGGGAAAGCUGUACACUUUAUGAGCAUAUCACAUUUUCACCUUCAAUCACAAGACUCAUUGUAGAGAAAAGGACUUUCAAGAGAUAACAAGGUAAGACAGACAUCCUCUUUUCUUCAUACCUUGCUUUUCUCUAACAGUGAGGGAUUUGAUGAAGGAUCCAGCUUUCCCCUUUAGGGAAAAUGAAAAUUUUAAUUUCCUACUCUAUCGUCACUUGUGAGUUGUGGCUUGAUUUGCAAAACUUUCAUCUCCAGAAAACAAGUAUUUGUUUUGUGUAAUGAAGUAUAGAACUAUUACUAAGGAAAUGCUACUCUGUCUCUGUAUUCAUGAAGAAGGUCAACUCUGUCUCUGUAUUCAUUAAAAAGGCCAAUUGGUUAACCAUAUUAAUACAUAACUCCUUGAUA